rnacentral:rRNA from 1 species
UACAGAGGUGGCAAGCGUUGUUCGGAAUUACUGGGCGUAAAGGGCGCGUAGGCGGCCUUCUAAGUCGAACGUGAAAUCCCUGGGCUCAACCCAGGAACUGCGUCCGAUACUGGAAGGCUUGAAUCCGGGAGAGGGAUGCGGAAUUCCCGGUGUAGCGGUGAAAUGCGUAGAGAUCGGGAGGAACACCAGAGGCGAAGGCGGCGACCUGGACAAGUACUGACACUCAACUACGAAAGCGUGGGGAGCAAACAGG